GAAACGCGAUAGGUAAUGUGAAUUGCAGAAUUCCGUGAAUCAUCGAAUCUUUGAACGCACCUUGCGCUCUAUGGUAUUCCGUAGAGCAUGCCUGUUUGAGUGCCGUGAAUUCUCCCAUCCCAAGCGGUUUUUAUCAAAGAAUUGCUAGGCGAAGGGGUUGAGAUGGGCGUUAUUAUAACUGCUUUUCUUCUCUAGAAAAGCUCGCCCGAAAAACAGCUAACGCCUCUGGGCCACUUUGCAUCCGCUUCUCUGAGGGGAGAAGCGGCCAAGCGCGCUCUGAUCAUCAGGCAUAGCAUGAUACGUCAUUUGCUAUGCUGUAGGAGGGCAUUUGGUUGUGGUUAUACCGCGUGCGUCAUUUUUUUUUCUUGCAAAGAGAAAAAAAAGCCCCCCUUUCAUUUCUGGUCUCAAAUCAGGUAGGAUCACCCGCUGAACUUAAGC
rnacentral:misc_RNA from 1 species